AUUGAACGCUGGCGGCAGGCCUAACACAUGCAAGUCGAACGGUAACAGGAUUAGCUUGCUAAUCGCUGACGAGUGGCGGACGGGUGAGUAAUGCUUGGGAACUUGCCUUCAGGAGGGGGAUAACAGUUGGAAACGACUGCUAAUACCGCAUAACGUCUACGGACCAAAGCGGGCUUCGGCUCGCACCUGAAGAGAGGCCCAAGUGAGAUUAGCUAGUUGGUAAGGUAAAGGCUUACCAAGGCGACGAUCUCUAGCUGUUCUGAGAGGAAGAUCAGCCACACUGGGACUGAGACACGGCCCAGACUCCUACGGGAGGCAGCAGUGGGGAAUAUUGCACAAUGGGGGAAACCCUGAUGCAGCCAUGCCGCGUGUGUGAAGAAGGCCUUCGGGUUGUAAAGCACUUUCAGUUGUGAGGAAAGGUUGGUAGUUAAUACCUGCCAGCUGUGACGUUAACAACAGAAGAAGCACCGGCUAACUCCGUGCCAGCAGCCGCGGUAAUACGGAGGGUGCGAGCGUUAAUCGGAAUUACUGGGCGUAAAGCGCACGCGGGCGGUUUGUUAAGCUAGAUGUGAAAGCCCCGGGCUCAACCUGGGAUGGUCAUUUAGAACUGGCAGACUAGAGUCUUGGAGAGGGGAGUGGAAUUCCAGGUGUAGCGGUGAAAUGCGUAGAUAUCUGGAGGAACAUCAGUGGCGAAGGCGGCUCCCUGGCCAAAGACUGACGCUCAUGUGCGAAAGUGUGGGUAGCGAACAGGAUUAGAUACCCUGGUAGUCCACACCGUAAACGCUGUCUACUAGCUGUGUGUGAAUUUAAUUCGUGCGUAGCGAAGCUAACGCGCUAAGUAGACCGCCUG
rnacentral:rRNA from 1 species